CAUUGACUGAAGGCACAAUCAUCUCAGGUUUCAUUAAGGAAAGACAGAGAAGGUGGUCUAAAUAAACCACACCCACAUGAAAGCUUCACAAUUGGCUUCUACAAUCAUACAUUUACUGUUCAGCUUCAGUUUAUAAAGCCAGUAAAUCUUCUCAACAUGGAGAGAUGCUUUCUGCUGAUUCUUCUAUCUGUGCCAGGGUUUCUGUCUGACAGCAUUAAACCAAAAGACAAAGAAACUAAUAUUUACAGAAAUGAAGAAGAGCGUGUAACUCUGAGCUGCUCGUAUGAUUCAAGCAGCAGUUAUAUUUUGCUUUACUGGUACAGACAGUAUCCUAAUAAAGAACCUGAAUAUUUACUGUAUAAAGGUGCUCAAUCACGGAGCAGUUCUGAGGAUAUACCAGACCCUCAACGGUUUCAGUCGACUACAUCCCAAACAUCCACUGAACUCAUUAUUAACAGUGUGACUCUGUCAGAUUCAGCUCUCUAUUAUUGUGCUCUAAACGUUGACACCCAGUGAUACAAAGUGCCUGAGAGGCUUUACAAAAACUCACAUGUAGAUUUUGCCUUUUAAAUAACGAUUCAAAUAAACCACAGCUUUAUCUUGUGUAAACCACAAC